rnacentral:rRNA from 1 species
UUCACCUACGGGGGGCAGCAGUGGGGAAUAUUGCACAAUGGGGGGAACCCUGAUGCAGCGACGCCGCGUGAGUGAAGAAGUAUUUCGGUAUGUAAAGCUCUAUCAGCAGGGAAGAAAAUGACGGUACCUGACUAAGAAGCCCCGGCUAACUACGUGCCAGCAGCCGCGGUAAUACGUAGGGGGCAAGCGUUAUCCGGAUUUACUGGGUGUAAAGGGGGCGCAGACGGCGAUGCAAGCCAGGAGUGAAAGCCCGGGUCCCAACCCCGGGACUGCUCUUGGAACUGCGUGGCUAGAGUGCAGGAGGG